rnacentral:rRNA from 1 species
GUCUGUUUGUAGUUAUAAAGAGUCUAACCUGCCCAUUGAUAAUUUUAAAAGGCCGCGGUACUUUGACCGUGCAAAGGUAGCAUAAUCGUUAGUUUCUUAAUUAGAAUCCUGUAUGAAUGGUUGGACAAAAAAAAAUCUGUCUUUAUAUUUAUAUUUGAAUUUAACUUUUAAGUGAAAAGGCUUAAAUGAAUUAGAGGGACGAUAAGACCCUAUAAAACUUAAUAUUAAAUAGUUAUAUUUCUAAAUUUUAGAUUAUAAAAGUUCGGUGAUUAUAUUUAUUAUAUUGGGGUGAUAAAAGUAAAAUUUUUGUUAACUGCUUAAUGUUAAAUACAAAAAUAAGUGAAUAAAAUUGUAAAUGAUCCUAAAUAAAGAUUGAAAGUUUAAGUUACUUUAGGGAUAACAGCGUUAUUUUUUUUGAGAGUUCUUAUCGAAAAAAAAGUUUGCGACCUCGAUGUUGAAUUAAAAUAUCUAUAUAAUUGUAGUAGUUAUAUAAGAAGGUCUGUUCGACCUUUAAAUUUUUACAUGAUUUGAGUUCAAACCGGCGUGAGCCAGGUUGGUUUCUAUCUUCUAAUGAUAAAUUUAUUA